rnacentral:rRNA from 1 species
UGGCGGACGGGUGAGUAACACGUGGGUAACCUACCCAUCAGAGGGGGAUAACACUUGGAAACAGGUGCUAAUACCGCAUAACAGUUUAUGCCGCAUGGCAUAAGAGUGAAAGGCGCUUUCGGGUGUCRCUGAUGGAUGGACCCGCGGUGCAUUAGCUAGUUGGUGAGGUAACGGCUCACCAAGGCCACGAUGCAUAGCCGACCUGAGAGGGUGAUCGGCCACACUGGGACUGAGACACGGCCCAGACUCCUACGGGAGGCAGCAGUAGGGAAUCUUCGGCAAUGGACGAAAGUCUGACCGAGCAACGCCGCGUGAGUGAAGAAGGUUUUCGGAUCGUAAAACUCUGUUGUUAGAGAAGAACAAGGACGUUAGUAACUGAACGUCCCCUGACGGUAUCUAACCAGAAAGCCACGGCUAACUACGUGCCAGCAGCCGCGGUAAUACGUAGGUGGCAAGCGUUGUCCGGAUUUAUUGGGCGUAAAGCGAGCGCAGGCGGUUUCUUAAGUCUGAUGUGAAAGCCCCCGGCUCAACCGGGGAGGGUCAUUGGAAACUGGGAGACUUGAGUGCAGAAGAGGAGAGUGGAAUUCCAUGUGUAGCGGUGAAAUGCGUAGAUAUAUGGAGGAACACCAGUGGCGAAGGCGGCUCUCUGGUCUGUAACUGACGCUGAGGCUCGAAAGCGUGG